rnacentral:rRNA from 1 species
GACGAACGCUGGCGGCGUGCUUAACACAUGCAAGUCGAACGAAGUGGCGAACGGGUGAGUAACGCGUAAUCAACCUGCCCUUCAGAGGGGGACAACAGUUGGAAACGACUGCUAAUACCGCAUACUGAAGGAGGGGAUUCCGUCUGAGUAGCUAGUUGGAGGGGUAACGGCCCACAAAGGAGAUGAUCAGUAGCCGGGCUGCGAGGAUGAACGGCUACAUUGGGACUGAGACACGGCCCAGACGCCUACGGGAGGCAGCAGUGGGGAAUCUUCCGAAAUGGACGAAAGUCUGACGGAGCAACGCCGCGUGAGUGAUGACGGCUUUCGGGUUGUAAAGCUCUGUUAGUCGGGACGCGGUACCGGAAUAGAAAGCCACGGCUAACUACGUGCCAGCAGCCGCGGUAAUAC